CGGGUGUAGUUCAAUGGUAGAAUGACAGCCUUCCAAGCUGUAUACGGGGGUCCGAUUCCCCUCACCC
rnacentral:tRNA from 1 species